rnacentral:rRNA from 1 species
CCUCUGACCUCAAAUCAGGUAGGACUACCCGCUGAACUUAAGCAUAUCAAUAAGGCGGAGG